AAAGGUUUAAAAAGUUUAAUUUUAGCUUAAAAUUUUUUUUUAUUUAUUAUUUACAUGUAGUUUUUAGAAGGAAGAAGAUAUUAUUUAAAUAAUAAUAAUUAAAAUAGUUAUUCGCAGUAUAAAAAAUUAAAUAUUAAAGAAAUUUAGAUUUAGAAAUUUAUGUUAAUAUUAACUAAAUUUGUGCCAGCAGUUGCGGUUACACAAAUAAUAUAAGAAAAAUAUAAAUAGAAAUAGUAAAAUUAAUUAUAAUAAAAAUUUAAAAUAUAAUUUUUAAGGUGAAAUUUAUAAUUAUAAAUAAAUUUUUAUAUUUAUUUGAAUCUAGUAAAUUUAAUUUAAAGACUAGGAUUAGAUACCCUAUUAUUUUAAAUAAAAUUAGUUUUCUUAAUUAGUAUUAGUUAUGUUCUUGAAAGUUAAAAAAUUUGGCGGUAUUUUAGUCUUUUCAGAGGAAUCUGUCCUGUAAUUGAUAGUCCACGAUUUAAUGUACUUAUUUUAAAAAUUUAUAUAUCGUCGUAAUUUGAAUAUUUUAAAAGAAUUUUAAUAUUCAAAAUAUAUAAUUUUAUAUUAAAUCAGAUCAAGGUGUAGUUAAUAAAUAAGAAGAGAUGGAUUACAUUUUAAUUAUAAUUGGAUAUAUAAAUGUAUUUUAUAUUGAAAUUGGAUUUGAAAGUAAUUUUUAAAAUAUAUUAAAAAUGAUUUUAGCUCUAAAAUAUGUACAUAUUGCCCGUCGCUUUUGUUUUAAGAUGAAAUAAGUCGUAACAAAGUAGAUUUACUGGAAAGUGAAUCUAGAAU
rnacentral:ncRNA from 1 species